rnacentral:rRNA from 1 species
GGGAAUAUUGGACAAUGGGCGCAAGCCUGAUCCAGCCAUGCCGCGUGUGUGAAGAAGGCCUUCGGGUUGUAAAGCACUUUCAGUGGGGAGGAAGGGUGUUGUGUUAAUAGCACAGCAUUUUGACGUUACCCACAGAAGAAGCACCAGCUAACUCCGUGCCAGCAGCCGCGGUAAUACGGAGGGUGCAAGCGUUAAUCGGAAUUACUGGGCGUAAAGCGCACGCAGGCGGCUUUUUAAGUCGGAUGUGAAAGCCCCGGGCUCAACCUGGGAAUUGCAUUCGAUACUGGGAAGCUAGAGUAUGUGAGAGGGGGGUAGAAUUCCAAGUGUAGCGGUGAAAUGCGUAGAGAUUUGGAGGAAUACCAGUGGCGAAGGCGGCCCCCUGGCACACUACUGACGCUCAGGUGCGAAAGCGUGGGGAGCAAACA